AAUGAUGCAUCUCCUACAUACGAGCCUCUUACUAGCUUCAGCUCUAUUUAUUUAAGUAAUUUUCUUUUUGAACUUGAAACUCAUCUUUGACCACAUGAAAUGUUUCUAUUGUAUUAGCGGGAAUCUAAAAUGAUUUUUUCAAACUUUUUUAUUGCGUCUUGAAUGAAUGAUUUUUUUUUUCAAGUUCAAACGAUCGAUAAAUUAAAUGUUUUAGAAAAUCUCGCAUCUCAAAAUUGACUAAUUCUAUUCAUUAGGAAUUGAAAAGACACUUCGUUUAUUACCAUCUGAUAUUUCGUUUCACUAACCACCAUCAUUUAUGCAAAUCCAUGAAGAGAUGGCAAUUAACACAUAACCACUCGUGUGCCUCUCCCUUUCUACUUACUUCCACUAUAAAUGGCAAGGUUGUUGCUUGCUUUCCCAUACAUUCCAAUUCCUCUCUUGUAAACACAAGGUAAUCUUAUCAUAAUUAUUCCGAUAAAUCAGUAUGGCAGAACCCUCCCUCUCUUCACUUCCGGUAGAGGUAAUUGAGAUGAUCUUUGAGAAGGUCCUUGAGCAAAGUGCAUCCAAAGCGAAUCUCAGCAGCAUUUCCUUGGUGUCCAAGCAUUUGAGAAGCAUAAUACUAUCAAGGCGUUUCGAGUACUUCCUAGAAUUGGAGGAAAAAACUCAUAAAUUACCUGAGGCCGGUCCACGUGUGAUUCAGUUUAUAGAUUGGCGCCACACUACUACUAGGCACAUAUCGAUUCUUUUACGAGGAUAGACAAGCAAAGUGUUUUAACCUACUGGAACAAGCUGCUACUGUUGAGAUGCAUGAUAUGGAAAUCUAUUGUUAUGGAAUGCAUUAAUUUGUUCAGGGCGGCACGAGACAACAAGUAGUGUGUUGCGCCGCACAUGGAGCAGUCCUAUUGGUAGAAUAUUACUGAUGAUAAACCGGGAAGAAUUCCAGCAGAUGCUUGGUC